rnacentral:rRNA from 1 species
UACGUCCCGGGCCUUGUACACACCGCCGUCACACCACGAAAGUGGGUAACACCCGAAGCCGGUGGCCCAACCCUUGUGGAGGGAGCCGGUCCGAAGGUGGGAUCCGCGAUUGGGGUG